AUUGAACGCUGGCGGCAUGCCUUACACAUGCAAGUCGAACGGUAACAGGUUAAGCUGACGAGUGGCGAACGGGUGAGUAAUAUAUCGGAACGUGCCCAGUCGUGGGGGAUAACUGCUCGAAAGAGCAGCUAAUACCGCAUACGACCUGAGGGUGAAAGCGGGGGAUCGCAAGACCUCGCGCGAUUGGAGCGGCCGAUAUCAGAUUAGGUAGUUGGUGGGGUAAAGGCCCACCAAGCCAAAGAUCUGUAGCGGGUCUGAGAGGACGACCAGCCACACUUGGACUGAGACCCGGCCCAGACUCCUACGGGAGGCAGCAGUGGGGAAUUUUGGACAAUGGGCGCAAGCCUGAUCCAGCCAUGCCGCGUGCGGGAAGAAGGCCUUCGGGUUGUAAACCGCUUUUGUCAGGGAAGAAAAGGUUCUGGUUAAUACCUGGGACUCAUGACGGUACCUGAAGAAUAAGCACCGGCUAACUACGUGCCAGCAGCCGCCGUAA
rnacentral:rRNA from 1 species